rnacentral:rRNA from 1 species
UACGUAGGGUGCGAGCGUUGUCCGGAUUUAUUGGGCGUAAAGAGCUCGUAGGCGGCUUGUCGCGUCGGAUGUGAAAGCCCGGGGCUUAACUCCGGGUCUGCAUUGGAUACUAUCCGGCUAGAGGAAUGGAGGGGAGACUGGAAUACUUGGUGUAGCAGUGAAAUGCGUAGAUAUCAAGUGGAACACCAGUGGCGAAGGCGAGUCUCUGGACAUUUCCUGACGCUGAGGCACGAAAGCCAGGGGAGCAAACGGG